rnacentral:rRNA from 1 species
UACGUAGGGGGCAAGCGUUGUCCGGAUUUAUUGGGCGUAAAGAGCGUGUAGGCGGCUUGGUAGGUCCGCUGUGAAAACUCGAGGCUCAACCUCGAGAUGUCGGCGGAAACCACUUGGCUAGAGUCCGGAAGAGGAGAGUGGAAUUCCCGGUGUAGCGGUGAAAUUCGUAGAUAUCGAGAGGAACACCGGUGGCGAAGGCGGCCAACUGGACAGAUACUGACGCUGAGACUCGAAAGCGUGGGGAGCAAACAGG